rnacentral:rRNA from 1 species
UGUAGCUGGUCUUUCACGAGGCAUGUGCACACCCUACUCAUCCACUCAACACCUGUGCACACUAUGUAGGUUUAGACGAGCAUCGGGGCCCUCGUGCCUCGGUAGGAGUCUGCCUAUGUCUUUAUAAACUCUGUUUAGUAUACGAAUGUACUUGCGAUAAAACGCAUCUUAUACAACUUUCAGCAACGGAUCUCUUGGCUCUCGCAUCGAUGAAGAACGCAGCGAAAUGCGAUAAGUAAUGUGAAUUGCAGAAUUCAGUGAAUCAUCGAAUCUUUGAACGCACCUUGCGCCCCUUGGUAUUCCGAGGGGCACACCCGUUUGAGUGUCGUGAAAUUCUCAACUCAACCACCUUUGCUGGUGUUUGGGCUUGGACUUGGGGGUUUGCUGGCUUCGGUCGGCUCCCCUUGAAUGCAUUAGCUCGAACCCUUGCGGAUCAGCUAUCGGUGUGAUAAUUGUCUACGCCGUGGUUGUGAUGCCACCUUCGGGUGUUGGAUCGGCUUCUAACUGUCCCCUAGGGACAAUUUCUUUGAAAUCUGACCUCAAAUCGGGUGGGACUACCCGCUGAACUUAAGCAUAUCAAUAAGCGGAGGAAAAGAAACUAACAAGGAUUCCCCUAGUAACUGCGAGUGAAGCGGGAAAAGCUCAAAUUUAAAAUCUGGCGGUCUUUGGCCGUCCGAGUUGUAGUCUGGAGAAGUGCUUUCCGCGCUGGACCGUGUACAAGUCUCCUGGAACGGAGCGUCAUAGAGGGUGAGAAUCCCGUCUUUGACACGGACUACCAGUGCUCUGUGAUGCGCUCUCAAAGAGU